UACGUAGGGGGCAAGCGUUGUCCGGAAUUAUUGGGCGUAAAGAGCGUGUAGGCGGUCCGGUAAGUCAGCUGUGAAAGUCAAGGGCUCAACCCUUGAAUGCCGGUUGAUACUGUCGGGCUAGAGUCCGGAAGAGGCGAGUGGAAUUCCCGGUGUAGCGGUGAAAUGCGCAGAUAUCGGGAGGAACACCAAUGGCGAAGGCAGCUCGCUGGGACGGUACUGACGCUGAGGAGCGAAAGCGUGGGGAGCGAACCGG
rnacentral:rRNA from 1 species